GAUGUUGGAUAUAUGUUUCGAGCCUCGAUUCCCUCCCCUCGCGGUCUGCAUCCACCGCGCCUCGGCGAUGGGACGCUCCACGGUUGCCCGUUUUUUCGGUCUUCCCUGGGGACCUUCGCCGGGCAAGACGGAUGAGGCGGUGCACCACCGAUUCUCGGCACCAGGACGUUGUGGCUAUCCUAAUUGGAAGGUCGCAUCAUCCUAAUGCCGGAAGAGGCGGUCGUGUCGUGACAACCGGCCUGAGAAUGAAACGGUGGGSGAAUGUCUGCCUUAUUGUUAUCGCGUUGGGUUUGUUGGAUAUGGAAAUCACGGUGUGCCCACCGUGUCAUCGGCUAGAAGCUGUCUGGCUGCUGCAAGGCUGCCAGUUCUUCCACGUCGUUGGCGAAUGGGUGCAAAUUGUCGGAUACGGGAAUCACGGUGCGCCCACCGUGUCAYCGGCGAGGAGCAUUCUGGCGGCCGGAAGGCYGCUGGUUCUUCCACGUCGUUGGCGAAUGGGUGCAACAAUAUGGGAUAUAGUGCCUGUUCUCGCGCUCUGUGGACUUUCGGUCGUCGUCUUCAUAGCAGACCCGUUGUGCUAAGCAUGAUGGGAUGCUCGGGCGUCUUGACCGUUGUGGCUACGCUGGCGCAUGAGCUGUUKUGGACAUGUGGCUGCUUGGAGGCCCCCCGUCGUUGUGCGGCCGACUCCCGGUGCAGUGUCCUUUCAAUUGUAUGGGUUUCAAAACCUGUGCCGUUGACGAGUGCUUGCGUUCUGCUACCCGUUCUGCGGGAAGUAGACCUUYGUACAAGUUGCCUUCGUCGCGUGCGUCCUUUGGGCGUGUCGCGUCGGUCACCUAGCGCUUUGCGGUGUUGCCUCGCGACGUCAGCCAUCUAGGCCGGCAUCGUCUAGGACACCUCGCACUCGCUCUUGGUCUCGGAUGACGCUCACUGUAUAGGCUCGUGGC
rnacentral:misc_RNA from 1 species